UCCAUUCUUGGAUUUCACUGUUGUCCACUCAUCUUUCUCGCUAACUGUACACAACAUACUUUCAACUUCAAACGACACUUUUGCUUCCGCAAUCUCCACCAACCUCCUCACAAAACUCGAAAGGGAGGGGUCUGACUGGAUCUGUCCAUAAAAUAGAGAGGUGGGAGAGAUAGAACUCAGUUUCAGCCAAAGGGCGAGUUAGAACUCAACUCACAGUCAGGAUUUCAGAAAGUGAGAUUUCAACAUCUGUUCAUCUAAUACUGUAUGUGAAUGUAUCCCAAAUAACCCUCUAUUCCCUAUGAAGUGCACUACUUUUGACCAGAGCCCAUAGUGAAUAUGUGGCCCUGCAAUUGUUUUGAAGGAUAAUGCUAAUUCCACAAACUCCCAAUUACCCUCUGGACACGCCCCUCUCCUGCUAACUCACAACACCUGAACUCACUCUGCUAAUCACCAAUUGCUCUUCCAUUCCUUUGGUAUAAGCAGCUUGUUUUGUUUGGGGUUGUUCAGCAUUUGUGGUGUCCCAAUUCCUUUACAGGUUGGCUAAACGGCACUGUGUGUCCCUUGGUGAUAAACUGGUGUCUGUACCCAAUGUUGUGAAGUACCUUGGCGCAAACCUGGCAUCUGUGCACAGCUCCGAGGAGGAUGAGUUUCUACAGGCGUUGGUCAUUGUGUCAAGACUGUUGGUUUCCCUCCUACCUGGAUUGGCGGAUUUUAUUCUGUUAAGGACAGGCGGUGGUUCUGGAGCGAUGGCUCCGACUUUGAUCACCAGAACUGGGCAAAAGGAAGGCCUGAUGCUGGUGCCAGAGAGGCCUGUAUUCAUAUCAACUUUGGAGGUCAAAAGCGCUGGAACAAUGCUUUAUGUGGAAGGAGCCUGCCCUCGGUGUGCUCCCUGA
rnacentral:lncRNA from 8 species